rnacentral:lncRNA from 1 species
GAAGAACUGAAGAGCUCCCUGGGCCCCUCUGCCAGCCAUUAUAUGAAGCUAACAAUAUGCAGUAUUAUAACCAUUGCUGAUUUCCUAUUAUCUUGUUUUGAAAUUGUGUAUCUUUUUUUUUAAAUAAAGAAGAAAACCCCGCUUACAAGGCAUGAAGAGAGCUUUAAGCAGAAACUGACCAUACUGACACCGUGACCUGGAACUUUUAGCCUCAACAAUUGCAAGAAAAUAAAUUUCUCUGAUAGACACAAGCCAUUCUGGUACCUUGUUAAAGUAGCCUGAGGUGACAAAGACACAGCAUGAACCAAAAAUCUCCAGAGUAUUGGAAGAAGUACCAUUGGAUUCAACAGAACCUGAGAUCCCACAAUCAAAACCACUUCCUGAAGAGAAGAAUCAUUCCUCAAAUGUCACAAGUCCUUAAGUUUGCAAACAAGCAUAGCUGUGAAGUGCUGACUCGUUAAAAAUGAAGGGGAGGAGGCAACAGUUGCCCAGUGUAACUGCUUCCACCUUUUGCUUUUCACCUGCAUUUCCGGUGAGGUCCUUCAGCCACUCAUCCUCUGUCUCUUCAGUGAGACAGAUAUCAGCCUCCCAGCUUUGCAAGUCUCCAUCUGAUAGCCCUGAGAAGACAUUGCCCUGCGCUGGCCCCUAACGCCUGC